rnacentral:rRNA from 1 species
GAUUAAGCCAUGCAUGUCUAAGUAUAAGCAAUUAUACCGUGAAACUGCGAAUGGCUCAUUAAAUCAGUUAUCGUUUAUUUGAUAAUACCUUACUACUUGGAUAACCGUGGUAAUUCUAGAGCUAAUACAUGCUGAAAAUCCCGACUUCGGAAGGGAUGUGUUUAUUAGAUAAAAAACCAAUGCCCUUCGGGGCUUUUUGGUGAUUCAUGAUAACUUUACGGAUCGCAUAGCCUUGCGCUGGCGACGGUUCAUUCAAAUUUCUGCCCUAUCAACUUUCGAUGGUAAGGUAUUGGCUUACCAUGGUUUCAACGGGUAACGGGGAAUUAGGGUUCGAUUCCGGAGAGGGAGCCUGAGAAACGGCUACCACAUCCAAGGAAGGCAGCAGGCGCGCAAAUUACCCAAUCCCGACACGGGGAGGUAGUGACAAUAAAUACUGAUACAGGGCUCUUUUGGGUCUUGUAAUUGGAAUGAGUACAAUUUAAACCUCUUAACGAGGAACAAUUGGAGGGCAAGUCUGGUGCCAGCAGCCGCGGUAAUUCCAGCUCCAAUAGCGUAUAUUAAAGUUGUUGCAGUUAAAAAGCUCGUAGUUGAAACUUGGGCCUGGCUGGCGGGUCCGCCUCACCGCGUGCACUCGUCCGGCCGGGCCUUCCUUCUGAAGAACCUCAUGCCCUUCACUGGGCGUGCUGGGGAAUCAGGACUUUUACUUUGAAAAAAUUAGAGUGUUCAAAGCAGGCCUUUGCUCGAAUACGUUAGCAUGGAAUAAUAAAAUAGGGCGUGCGUUUCUAUUUUGUUGGUUUCUAGAGACGCCGCAAUGAUUAACAGGAACAGUCGGGGGCAUCAGUAUUCAGUUGUCAGAGGUGAAAUUCUUGGAUUUACUGAAGACUAACUACUGCGAAAGCAUUUGCCAAGGAUGUUUUCAUUAAUCAGUGAACGAAAGUUAGGGGAUCGAAGACGAUCAGAUACCGUCGUAGUCUUAACCGUAAACUAUGCCGACUAGGGAUCGGGCGAUGUUCUUUUUCUGACUCGCUCGGCACCUUACGAGAAAUCAAAGUUUUUGGGUUCUGGGGGGAUUAUGGUCGCAAG